GACAAUCCGUUGUUGGUCAUAAUGUCUUUUGUGGAUUUGGGGGAUAUGAUCGACACAAUUGUCAAAAUGAAGCAUCACAAGCUGCUAAAUUAUAUAUAAAUGGACUCCAAAAAUCUAUUCACAGAUAAAAUCAUAACAUCAAGUAGCAUUAGAUAGUCGAAAGUAAGAUAUUUCAACUUACAAAAUAAAUUAAGCAAAGGUUGAAGAAACCGUUAAAUUGGACCUCUAAUCAAAUAGAGAGAACCAACUGAAACAGGAUAAGAAACGGAUAAAACAAUGUAUUAAAAGAAGAUUUCUUUGUUUGGUAUGAAGUAAUUUUAUACAAUACCCAUUAAAUGUCGUGGUGCUACAAAACAGAAGUAUGUGACUUUUUCAGUUGUCGUGCCAUGCCGCCCCAAUGCUAUUUUUCUUCCAUCACCUGAAACAAAACAUAAUUAGUUUAAAAGAAUCCACAUCCUCUUAUAUGUUAUCCAAAUUUCACUUUCAUAUGGCCCUGUAAAGUUGUAUAUAUACCAUUCACCUUUUUGAACCCACACUUUUGUAAUCACCGUUUUUAAAAUUACCUCUACUUCCACAAUAUAUUUUCACAACCACUUCAUGAGUAAAUUAUUUGUUUCCUUCAUCUAUUUAUUUCUAAGGCUACUAUCUUGUUGUCCAAUGUGACAUUGUCCGACUUUAUUAGAUGUAUCGCCUUGUUCUCUCUGUUUCUUUGUCAUUUUUCCACUUCUCAUUAUGUCUCUUUCAUAAAACUUCUAUGUCAUAUUUAUAGCAUGGGGGGAAGACAGACAUCAAAUAAAUACUACUAUCAAUUAGCCUUAUAUUUCUUUCCAUAGUUUAAAAGUAUUAUUUCUCGUUAAUAUAGGAUUAGGCAACAUAAUUAAAAUGUCAAUACUCAGUCUACUUGGCUAAAAAAGAUAAAUUUUGAUUUAACAACAGUGUCAUCAUAUUGAAUCAUUCACUUGAAUCUGAAAGGGAAAUUCAGUAGAGAAAACAAUAAAGAGUUAAACUAUGAAACUUAUAGCAGCACAUGUUGCUACCAUCAAUACAUUUCCUAUAAAAAUGAAAUGUCCAAAAUAACAUUGAUACAUAGCUUAUAAUUUUAUAUCUCAAAAAAAUGAUAGAAUUUACUCAUACAAAUGGAGAAAUAGAAUAUGCUUCUUACAGUCAGCAGAGGGAAUCAUAUCAUUCGUAUCAUUCCUGACUCAAUCCAAACCGAAGGCAUAUUUUCAUGCGGCCUGCAAGAAACAGGAAAAAAGACAUAGCAAAAGAUCACUUUUACUUGAUAUAUAAUUGUGAAAAAUAAAUAUAAAUGCAUAACAUUAGAAGGGUUUUACAAUCGUUUGUUAUGAACACAUGAAACAAAAAUUUUGAGAAAGCAUAAGAUGAUAUGACAGACUUCUAGAACUCAAUCCAGUAACAGAAUUUUCAAUAUUAAAGUUUCAGCUUUUAUCCAAGAACUGCUAAAAAUAAAUGCAACACCAACAUCACGAUUCAUUGGCAAAAGUUUAAAUGUUCUUAAGAAAAUGUGGAAUGGUACCUUAAAGGACUUGGAAAUUGGAGAGCCAGAAAUGAACCUUUUCACCUGAUUCAACCUGCUUGUUAUUCUGACUUUGUAUUUAAACAAUUUGUCUUUGAAUACCACCUCAACUUACUAUAUUAGUAGUUGAAUUUUUUCAAAAAUGUAGUUCAAACAACAAAAAGAUCAAUACUGAAAGCUUACCCUGAAUUUUCAGCAUUACGUUAUCACUUCUAAUUUCAUGGCAGCAUCAAAGAAUUCGGCAACUCAAAUUCUUACUCAAUAUUUUUUGGGGAAAAUACCAUAUGAAAAAAAGAUAUUAUAAGGGAAAAUGUCUAUUCACCUAAGCCCACAAUUCAACUUCAUUAACACCUUCAAUCAUCUGCCAAAACAAUCAACUCUUGUAACUAAUCUCUCUUCAUAACACACAAGUCUUACCUUCACN
rnacentral:lncRNA from 1 species